rnacentral:rRNA from 1 species
CUGUACAGUUCUAGAGUUUGAUCCUGGCUCAGGAUGAACGCUGGCGGCGUGCCUAACACAUGCAAGUCGAGCGAAGCACUUAGGUUCGAUUCUUCGGAUGAAGACUUAUUUGUACUGAGCGGCGGACGGGUGAGUAACGCGUGGGUAACCUGCCUCAUACAGGGGAAUAGCAGUUGGAAACGACUGAUAAUGCCGCAUAAGCGCACAGCAUCGCAUGGUGCAGUGUGAAAAACUCCGGUGGUAUGAGAUGGACCCGCGUCUGAUUAGCUAGUUGGUGGGGUAACAGCCUACCAAGGCGACGAUCAGUAGCCGGCCUGAGAGGGUGAACGGCCACAUUGGGACUGAGACACGGCCCAA